rnacentral:rRNA from 1 species
GACGAACGCUGGCGGCAUGCCUAAUACAUGCAAGUCGAGCGAACAGAUGAAGUGCUUGCACUUCUGACGUAAGCGGCGAACGGGUGAGAAACACGCAAGGAAUCUACCUAUAAGCGGGGGAUAACACUCGGAAACGGGUGCUAAUACCGCAUAAUAUCUUCUUCCGCAUGGAAGCAGCUUGAAAGACGACUCUGUUGUCACUUAUAGAUGACCUUGCGGUGCAUUAGUUAGUUGGUGGGGUAACGGCCUACCAAGAGGAUGAUGAAUAGCCGACCGGAGAGGGUGAUCGGCCAGAUUGGUACUGAGAAACGGCCGAAACUCCUACGAGAGGCAGCAGUAGGUAAUCUUCCGCAAUGGGCGAAAGCCUGACGGAGCAAUGCCGCGUGAGUAAAGAAGGCCGUCGGGUCGUAAAACUCUGUUAUAAGAGAAGAACAAAUUGUAGAGUAACUGCUACAGUCUUGACGGUAUCUUAUCAGAAAGCCACGGCUAACUACGUGCCAGCCGCCGCAGUAA